UGCUCUGGCUCUGCGUCAUAUUUAUUCCAGUGGAUCCGUGCGCUCUCUCUCGCCUCCUCCUUUUGCUCUCCUCUACGCUCUCUCUCUCUCUCUUUCUCUCUGUCCAUGCUUUUUAGGGCUAAUUGACCCAGCUCCAGAUCAUCAAUACGACGAGCUUCGACUACCACAAACAGCACAGACUCCGAAAAGCGCGACCGGGAACACCAGCGUAACUGCGAGGGAAGAAGAAGCCCAUGCUAACAGUGCGUGGACUGAACAACACCAUUUCAUUAAGAGCAGUGCCAAACAUGUGAGAAGAUGUCUGUUGGAGGUUGUGCUUGCCCAGGUAAGAGCUUUAAUUCCCUCUCUUCUGCAUGGACAGCUUCAGGCAGGAGUUGCGAAACAGCAUGGGGUUUUUGGGAAUGAAAGGAUACUACACCUGGAAGAUUUCACAUCUCUUU